CCUGCUUGUCUAUUAUUUAUUUUACCUAGUGCAAUUUUUGCUGUUUGUGCGAAGGCAUCACCGUAUUGCACUCUAACUGUUUGAUCUUUUCUUUCAAUGAACCUGUUUUGUUUCUUUUCCAACAUGCAUAAAACAUCCAUUUUUUCUUGCUUACAUCUAUCUUUAAAAAUCGUUUAUUUUAUACAAAAAAAGAAGUCUGUGCAUCCCCAUUCCCAUCUCAAAAAUCAAUCACCACGUUGGAUGGGUUCCACUGAAGCAAAAAUCAAG
rnacentral:misc_RNA from 1 species